GAUGAACGCUGGCGGCGUGCCUAAUACAUGCAAGUCGAGCGAACGGACGAGAAGCUUGCUUCUCUGAUGUUAGCGGCGGGCGGGUGAGUAACACGUGGAUAACCUACCUAUAAGACUGGGAUAACUUCGGGAAACCGGAGCUAAUAACGGAUAAUAUUUUGAACCGCAUGGUUCAAAAGUGAAAGACGGUCUUGCUGUCACUUAUAGAUGGAUCCGCGCUGCAUUAGCUAGUUGGUAAGGUAACGGCUUACCAAGGCAACGAUGCAUAGCCGACCUGAGAGGGUGAUCGGCCACACUGGAACUGAGACACGGUCCAGACUCCUACGGGAGGCAGCAGUAGGGAAUCUUCCGCAAUGGGCGAAAGCCUGACGGAGCAACGCCGCGUGAGUGAUGAAGGUCUUCGGAUCGUAAAACUCUGUUAUUAGGGAAGAACAUAUGUGUAAGUAACUGUGCACAUCUUGACGGUACCUAAUCAGAAAGCCACGGCUAACUACGUG
rnacentral:rRNA from 1 species